rnacentral:misc_RNA from 1 species
AACGCACCUUGCACCGUAUGAGUCAAAUUGUACGGUAUACCUGUUUGAGAAUCGUAAAAACCCAUUCCCCCUACCUUGUGUUGGUGGUGGGAGACUUGUCGGUUGUUGCACUCUAUGCGGGCGUGUAUGCGCGCACGUGUAAGGCGACUCUGAUUAAAGGCAGUAGGUUUGGACUGGGCUGGUGGCCUGGGACAUUGUGUGCUAGAGACUGGUCGGUUAGACCGCGUCUUCUCACGAUGCGUCCCGGGUCAAUCAAGCUGGCCCGUGUUCUGGACCUUGACAGUGUACACACGCGUAUUGCGCCUUCACAGUCGUGCUUGUGCUAUGCGCCGUGGACACAACCCCCCCUAUUUUGAUCUCAAAUCAGGUAAGGCUACCCGCUGAACUUAA